CCUUCGAUAGCUCAGUUGGUAGAGCGGAGGACUGUAGGUUGAUGAUAACUGGUGUCCUUAGGGUGCUGGUUCAAUUCCGGCUCGAAGGA
rnacentral:tRNA from 1 species